AAUGAACGUUGGCGGCAUGGAUUAGGCAUGCAAGUCGCGCGAUAAGAUUCCUUCGGGAAUCCGAAAGCGGCGAAAGGGAGAGUAACGCGUAGAUGAUCUACCCCGAGGACUGGGAUAGCGGCGGGAAACUGCCGGUAAUACCAGAUGAUGUCUCCGGACCAAAGGUGUGAUUCCGCCUUGGGAUGAAUCUGCGUCCUAUUAGCUAGUUGGUGAGGUAACGGCUCACCAAGGCGAAGAUGGGUACCGGGUGUGAGAGCAUGACCGGCGUCACUGGGACGUGAGACACUGCCCACGACACCUACGGGUGGCUGCAGUCGAGAAUCUUCGG
rnacentral:rRNA from 1 species